GUCUCAUAUUUUUUUUUUUUGGUUUAUAUAUUUUUCUAUACCGAAGUAAGGAAUUAGGUUUUUGAAAUUUAUUAAUGUGUAUUUAAACAUUCAUAAUUAUGAUUUGCAUUAUUAAUAAAAACCCUAAGAUAGACGUUUGCUUCAAUCUAUAUAUAUAGUUUCUUUUUAGUUUUUCUUGCCUUGCUUAUCAUUCACAACAGUCAUCAAGAAUCAACAUACAACACACAGUACAUCACAAACCACUAUUCCCAUGUCACACAACACAAGUGUUAAUUUUUCUAACGGCUGACACACAAAAGUUCCUACUAAAAAUAUUGAAUCAAACAACCUUUAGUCCUUUUUUGUUAAUCCUUUAGAGCAUCAUUAACCCUAUAACCCCACUUGGGUUUCUUAAUGAUUUAUUUAACAAUAAAAGUUACUUAAGAAAUUUAGUUAAGAAAUCUUUAAUUUUUGUGGUGCAUUGGGAGUUUCUUAAUUUAGGUUUCUUAAAACACAUUACACAAUCAACAAAGUACACAAUCACAAUCAACAAAACAUAAUCCAAGAGAUGAACCAAGAUGUAGCAAUGUCGUCAUGGCUACCAAGUUUAUCAACAGUUCCAGCUUUUAAAUCGUGCCUGGCAAAACAAACUUUCAAUCAUUGAAACCUCCAUCGAAUUAUGUAACUGAACACACAUGAGAUAUGAAUAAACCAAAACAUAAAAAGGUUCAAGGGUUUCAGAGUAUGAUACCACGAAUUCUAACACCUCGUUUCUUGAUUGGUAGAAUGCUCUAUCAAGAACAAGCACUGAUAUGUUGAAAUCAAAGUUAAAAUUAUUAGCUCAAAAGAAAUGCCAAACUGAGAAAAAAGAGUUUUUGUCAUUAUGUAAAGGUUAAGUAUAUACCUCAUUUUCACGAUCCUCAAACGUAUUAUGUAGUUAAUCUGCAGCAAAAUAAAAUGUCAGAUGCUUUUAGCCGAUUACAGAGACACAACGAACUUCAAAAACAGGAU
rnacentral:lncRNA from 1 species